rnacentral:rRNA from 1 species
UACGUAGGGGGCAAGCGUUGUCCGGAAUCAUUGGGCGUAAAGAGCGUGUAGGCGGUUUCGUAAGUCCGACGUGAAAGUCCAGGGCUCAACCCUGGAAUGCCGCUGGAUACUGCGGAACUAGAGUCCGGAAGGGGCGAGUGGAAUUCCUGGUGUAGCGGUGAAAUGCGCAGAUAUCAGGAGGAACACCAAUUGCGAAGGCAGCUCGCUGGGACGUAACUGACGCUGAGACGCGAAAGCGUGGGGAGCAAACAGG